CCUACGGGGGGCUGCAGUGGGGAAUAUUGGACAAUGGGGGGAACCCUGAUCCAGCCAUGCCGCGUGUGUGAAGAAGGCCCUCGGGUUGUAAAGCACUUUCAGUGAGGAAGAACGCCUGGUGGUUAAUACCCAUCAGGAAAGACAUCACUCACAGAAGAAGCACCGGCUAACUCCGUGCCAGCAGCCGCGGUAAUACGGAGGGUGCGAGCGUUAAUCGGAAUUACUGGGCGUAAAGCGCGCGUAGGUGGCUUGAUAAGCCGGUUGUGAAAGCCCCGGGCUCAACCUGGGAACGGCAUCCGGAACUGUCAAGCUAGAGUGCAGGAGAGGAAGGUAGAAUUCCCUGUGUAGCGGUGACAUGCGUAGAGAUCGGGAGGAAUACCAGUGGCGAAGGCGGCCUUCUGGACUGACACUGACACUGAGGUGCGAAAGCGUGGGUAGCAAACAGGAUUAGAUACCCCAGUAGUC
rnacentral:rRNA from 1 species